CAACCGGCUUUUUUCAAAGCCACCCCAACCAUCAAAAGAUUAACA
rfam:Amphimedon queenslandica AMPQTscaffold_13516_Cont408, whole genome shotgun sequence.